rnacentral:lncRNA from 1 species
AUGAAAAAAUAGCCAAAGCUUUAACCAAUUCAACACAAAAGGAAUAUAUUUUACACAACACUUAAGCAAAAAAAUUAUUUAUUUAUCAAAAUGCCAAAUCGGCAAAAAUUUUGGCAUGAUUACAAAUUUCAAAAAAAAAAAGAGAAAAAAGAAACUAGGCAUCAUUUCCACCGGAGCCCGAAGGGAGAGAGGGAUAUGCGUUUUCCCCAGUGGAGGAAGGCAAAUCAGCUGCCAAUUUGGGGCUUUCGUCUUCAUCUUCCUCAAUGUCCCCUUUCGGUCCCCGAAUACUCAAAAUCAGUACUCGAGAAGUCAAUUGCAACAUGCUGAGUGGGAAGAUUUUCAUGAGCAUCUAGCUCCAGUUCUCCAGUAUUGACGAUGCAAUCAUAAAUAUCGACAAGGCCCGCUUUGGACUUUUCUAAGGUUUUCCUCCUCAUAUGAUGUAUAGCCUAAGUCUUCUCUAAAACAAGGGAAUCCUCUUGGUACUGGAGCUUUGCUUUGAGUUCAAUUUCAGCCUGAACGCCAUCCCUUUCAGAUCUCAUGGCGCCAAGGCGAGAAUUAAGCCCAACAGUGUAGAUAAGUGGAUCUGAUUUUGCUCUAUGAUUCUCUUAAACCCCUUUUACAUUUUGGCCCUCUUCUCCUCGACGAACAUUGGAUUUCUCUGUUUGGAGUUCAGCUCUGCACUCAAAUUAUUUUUUUCUCCUCGAGGGAAGACUCGCACUCGGGCCUCGGCAGCAACAGGCACAACGUUAUGGAGCCCAACCAACUUAGCCUUAAUCUCUUGAAGUUGCUUGUGUAAUUGUGUCACGACCCAAAUUUCCCUCCGUUGGGUGUCUUGAUGGCACCU